GUGUGAAUGCUUUAAUUAGGUUAAUAAGCUAUAAUUAAGGCUGAAGUGUUUCACCUGUGCUAAGAUGAGCUGAGACACAAUAAACAGCUCUCUUUCAGGCUCUCUGACCAGCAGCGAUCAUGAAAGCAUCAUCUGAAAGGAGCCUGAAGUCUCUGAACACGUCCAGGAGAACCGGCUGGACGCGCAAACGGAGUACCGAGGCGUAUUCCGCUUACAUUUACAAGAUCGAGAAGGAAGUGUCUGAGGACGUGAGUGACGCCGUCUCUUUGAUGCGCCGCCUGUCCGACGCGCACGCGCAGAUGAGCGCCGAGGCCGCGCGACUCUCCAAGUUCAACCGGCGACGCGUCAUCACGCAGCGAGAGCUGCACGCAGCCGCGAAAAAGCUCCUGAUGGCUGAGAUUUAAGUGUCGCAUUUAGACUUUUUAGAUUUAAUAAAGAUGUUUCCGCUUUUAAAAAGUCUUUACGCCAUUUAUUAUCAUCUGAACAAAUUUAUCCAGACUAACUUGCCAAGAAAGGCUGGGUGUUCUCUUAAAGCCUGUCACUUUAAAAACUUGGCCUACUGUACCUUUAAACAUAAGUCUAAUGAUAGCCUAUGGAUUUUGAUUUUUAAAGCAUUUUGCUAGUUUAUUGAAGACCUCCUAUUUUUAAAAUACUUGGACUAUAACAAAAGUCAAUCUUUCUUUUUAAGAUUCACUAAAAAAAAUCAGAAUUAUUCCGAGUAUACAACAUUUGUUUACGCACACUUCUAAACUUUAAUACCAGGAUAAUGUUAUACGUGAGUUUUCAUUAUUCCAAAACCUAGAUUUUCGGUUAAUUCUGUCAGAAAACGGUUAAUCUGUGGUCCAUGUGGAUGUUUGUCACGGGGCGGCGCUGUAACAUCAGUAGACUUGACACAAACAGCCAGUUUGUUGUUUUAAAUUAUAAAUCAACAGGGAUUUUAAUGAAGCUUCUUGUUAAUGCUCAAACAUUUUGUCCAACAGAUUGUAAUUAAUAAAUUGUAAGCGUUUCUAGCAUCUGACACGCACGUGACACUUGCCCCGGAUUGACAUUUCAGAAAGAGCUCAGUGUAGUACAACACGACGCCUAAUAAUACAAUUAAAUCGUAAAAUACAUUUGUAUAUAACAUCAGCAUGUAAUUUAUGAAAGUAUUAUAAAUGAAAUGUUUUUCUUUGUUGUAUUUGACGUCACUUAAUUACCCAGAGAUAUUUAAUCUGAUGUUCAAAAAUACAAGUUUACACAGUACUCUUGAGUGCAUUAACAGUCACAGCUGUUGACAAUAAAAUGAAAUGCAUAAUUAUGUAAAUACGGGGUUAUUUAUCACAAAAGCAAUUAGGCCACCAUAGACCAAAUGUUUUAAACAGAUACAGAAAGAACAAAGGCUUUUAUUUUUGACAUUGUACGUGAUCCUCUGAUGUGUAUUCCCUUUUAAAACCCUGCCCACCUUGGCUUUAAAUCGUUUGACAAUCGCCUUCCAGCAACAUUGACGGGGGUGUGACUCUAGCGCUGACUGCCGCAAGUAUCCUCCAAUCAACUGUCUGGCUCCCGAGUGGGCGGGGAUAACGGUCUUCUUUCCACCAAUGAAAACCCCCCGAGCGAACCCCCCGUCCAAUGAGCGACGAGUCGUCAGCUGACGCUGUUUAGCAUUUAUUGUACACAAGAGUCGGACUAAGACAGACGCGAAUCACUGUGAAUCCAGAACUCAUGUGAAUUCAUCGUUCAUUUACAAACUAACCUCUUCAUAAAGGUACUGUACGUUAUCAUUUCUUUUCCGAACAAGCUUGUAAACGCCUCGCGUGACUGGACGUGUAAACAGCAGCGUGCAUUGGAGAUCACAUGCGCGUGUUAGUUUAAGCAAAUGCGUUAAUUAGCCUUUUACAAUCAAAUGUGUAAAAAGCAAAAUCUGCUUUUAAGUUUUGUGCAUUUGAUCUUUGAAUUAAUUUAUGAUGUUAAUAUUUCUAUCAGCGAAGCCCAACCCUGUGCAUAUGAACUGGCUCUUGAAAACAUGCGUGCAAGUUCAACAAUUUAAUAAUCAAUAUCAUCACAAUAUCCGCAUGACAUGCAUUUUAACAGUGUAUUAUUAUUGCAACAACGAUAUUUAUGAUAAUAAAUUUUUUUAAAAUAUAUAUAUAUUGUGCUAUUAUAGAAACAUUAAAAUUAGAAAAAUUAUAUACAUUUGUAUGUAUAUGUGCCUUUUUAUAUAUUUUUAAUGCAUAAGAGAUGUUAAAUGUGUCAGAUGCAUCGAGUU
rnacentral:lncRNA from 1 species